rnacentral:lncRNA from 1 species
GUUUGCAAAUGUUGUAUAUUCCCUUUAACCACAUAGCGCCCUCUAUUGUCUAGAGCACAUAACCAUGUGAGUUUUGAGUGCAUGUAGGCAGCCAUCUUGUUAGACACAAUACACUAUUCUUAGCUAGCUGAAACAUCUCAAGUGUGCUUUUUAUUCAGUCCGAUUCAUCUGAUCAUUACAGACAUGGAGAGGAGGCCAAGGAACCAACCUGCUUUGGUCGUGUUUAAUUUUAGCCGUACGCGGCAGCUAUGACCACAGAUUUCUCAGAAUAGUUAGAAAUGUUAGGUCUAGAAACCAGACUUUUGCAAUGGGAGCUGUCAUUGUCUGCGUAUUAUGUCUAUUCUUCACUAUGGAGCUCUCACAAAUGCAUUUAAUCUCCACGAUGCCAAGGUCACACCUCUAUCUGUGGAGUCCAAUUAUUUCCCCUGUCUUCAGUCAUUAGGGGUACACAAUGAGAUUCAACAAGUACACUACUGGCAAAACAGCAUCCUCUAUUCCAAACCUCAGCAAAAUAAAAUGUGUUGCAGCGGAAACCGAAUACUACUGGAUCGACAAUGUCAAGAUAACAGCAAAAGUGGGUAUCCACAAGUCAGUUAUGUGCCACUACCAAGGUUUUCAUCCACAAAUGUUUUUGAUGUAACUUCCAUGGCGUUCACCGGGCAAGCAAGUAUUCUAACUCAGAGUACAACAGGAUCUAAAAUAGACAGUAGUCUGAACCGUACACCCAAUGACAACAACUUGCGUUUAUGUGGCAUUUCCAAAUUUAAAUGUCCUGAAUGUAUGAAACUGUUUGUUACCUCUGGGGGCCUAAUGAAACACAGACAAUUCCACAGUCAAUCGGUCUCUGGCAGGAACUGUUUUAGCUGCAAACAUUGUGAUAAACAGUAUAUGUCUCUAGGGGCCCUGAAGAUGCACAUUCGCACUCAUACAUUGCCUUGCAAAUGCAAGUACUGUGGCAAAAGUUUUUCACGACCUUGGUUACUGCAGGGCCAUAUCCGCACGCACACAGGAGAGAGGCCAUUUUCGUGUGCACAUUGUCGACGUUCUUUUGCUGAUCGUUCAAAUCUUCGUGCACACCUUCAAACACAUUCUGAGGUGAAAAAGUACGGUUGCCAGAGGUGCGCUAAAACCUACUCAAGAAUUUCUCUUUUAACAAGGCAUGAGGUCACCGGUUGUUUUCCACAAGCAGUUGCUUCAAGUGAAUAACAGCGAAAAUUCUGCAAAGCUGUAUGGAGCGAGUUCCCAAUUAAUAAAUCAAAAAGUGCAUUUAACAGUGAUUAUUCUUAUAUAUUGUCUAACAAUUAAGGUGAUUUUGUUUUUUUAUUAUUACGUUUUUCCCAAUUGUAAACUUGUAUGUGUGUUCAUCCAUGGAGCAAGGAACAGAAGGAGAUAGAACUCCCCUACUUCAAAGUGGUAUAUGAUCGUCACCUCCCUCGAAAGCAACAACAGAAAGCACCUGGCAGCCAGCUUAUUCAGUUGCUUUUCUACCCUAUUGAUAUCCGUGCCCACUAAUGCUAGAAGAAGGAGUUAGGCUUUGUGGAUAGCACCAUGGUAAUGCCGGCGCAGUUGUCAUACAUUGCCGUAAAUGAAUGAUUUUGAAAGCGUAUGUUCGGAGUUGGCUAAUACUGGCUCAUAAUGUGGUCAACAUAACUGAACAAAAUACUUAUACUCUAUACCGUCCGUUGGAAACCGUCGGAAAUUUCCCAAAUUGUCAUUUCAUAAAUGAUAUAUUGCCAAUAAAAAUUUUCGAAAGACAUGAUAACUUUUCGGAAAAAAUAUUCAAUUUAUCUUCAAAUAACAGAAACAGAUAGCGCUUUCAAGGUCCAAUAAAACGCACAUUGAUUACUUGAUUUCAUAACUCACGUCUAACAACCGAACAGUUGUUAAAACCUAUAAAAAAAAAUUUAAAAAAAGAGAGCAACGAUGUGACAUGACGAGGGAGGUUGUUGGUUACCAGCUAAAAGGUGGUGAUGAUCAUCGUGUUCAAAGGCCACUUGCAUUCAUGCAAUGAAUGGUCCAGGCUUGGGGUCACAGUUUUUUUUAGCUAUGGACAUCCUGAGGGAUUGGAGUGUUAAUGGUCAAAAUGUAAAGUGCCCAAGAGUUCUAACUCCUUCUGUUCCUUGCUCCAUGGUUCAUCAUUACUGAUUUUUUAAUGAUACAUUACUAGUCUCAUGGCCAUGGGGUUUCUUCGCUUGCAAGUUAAAGGGAAGUCUUGGCCCAAGACAUCAGUGAUCAAUAGCCAUGGUUGCAUUGUAGAGUGCUGUUGCACAAUGUGCGGUAGAAGUGUGACAUUAUGUCGGGUCGUCUCCAAUGGUGACCAUUCAACACAAUGUCUCAUCCACCAUUUUAAUUGUACUUUUUGAAGAAGCAGUUUAGGUGAACAUUUUCUAUUUGAGAUUUCGCAGACGUUAAGAAUAAAUAAGACUGAAAAAUGGGAGAGUGCUUCAUA